AAACUUCCAACUACAAUUGUGGGUAUAUCAUUACAACACAGAACUGUCCGCCUGAUUACAUCAGUACACAGCUUAGUUUAUUCGUAACCAAACGUUAGAGAAAAACAAGGCAAUUACUUCCAAACCGUGAAUUUAUAUGAAGAUUAAAGCAUGGAACCUUCGUUUGAGAAAAAACAAACCGUUAAAGGAGUUGGACAGUUCCUGCAACUUGUGGGAGACAGCAAUUAUGAGAGAUAUAAGAAAUACUGGAGUAAGAUAAACACGUGUUCGAACAUUACCAGCAUCUUGCCUCUUACUGAGACCUUUCAGUGCCUGGGCAAGAUGGCUCGAAACAUCUUUGUGACAAGACCUCGAGAUGAUUGUCAGCCAGAGAUCGUGCAGUUGAAGACCUUGGAAGUGGUUCUGAGUGAGGGCGGGGAUGAACUUGCAAGGAACAUGGGUGAGCUUUUACAGAGGGCAGGGGACGCAAUGAAUGAAGAGUAUCUGAGUCUAUCCACGUCUACGAGCGAGUCAAACCUCAACCGUCUCUGUUUCGUUUUGCAAUGUGUCAAAGUUCUAGUGCAUUUGUCGGAGUUCAUUUGACAAAUAUGAGGUAGGUUUUAUGUUCAAUCAAAGUUUAUUUCUAACUGUUAUUUUAAGACAUAUGUUGCAUUACUGUCAGUAUUGGUAGUUAUUAUCUUUUAAAUAUAUUUCAGAAGACGUAUGAAUGGUCUCACAGAAGCAAAUCCAAAAAGCCCCAAAUAAAGCAGCUUACGCAAUCCGAUCGAUGGCACCAGUUGAGUCACGUGUCAGCUGCAUUAUGUUUUUAAAAGAAUAAAAGAACAUUAUGACUCAGCCAUGUGAAAGUGCGCGCGAAAAGUGAGGUUAUCUGCAAAAAGGAAGUACGAAAACUUCCUUCGACAACGACAACAACAACAAUUACACAACAACCACUAUAACGAGUAAAAAAAAUGUUAAUCAAGGAGAAGAAGACAUUGCAAACAUUUUAUCUGACAUUUUGAACGAUCUUCCUUACAAAAGAGAGCGUUGAGUUACAUGCGCGGAAGAACAAAAUGAAAAAAGUCACGUGUUUUACAUGUGCAAAUGUAUGAUAGUUAUAUUUGAGAACAAUUAAUAUUAACAGUUAACUGAUGAGUUUAAAAUCCAGGUGCACUGAACCUUUUGUAUAAUGCAAAUAAAUAUAUGCACAUU
rnacentral:misc_RNA from 1 species